rnacentral:lncRNA from 1 species
GCAGGAAACUGCAGAGCCCACGGAGGGGAAUAAAAGCAAGGGAAGCUCCGAGAAUGCUAAUCUUGGGAGACUUUUAAAAACAGAGAAAUCCAGUCAUCCUUGAUGAUGACAUUAGGUCAGAAGCGGGUUGGUGGCAGCGCACUUAACAAGCAGACGUCUGAUUCACCACCCCAGACCCUCUGAAUCUGCACUGACGGUCUGCACUUGAACCUUGAGGCUACCGUAUUUGCCUGGGGGAGGGGCAGCUUGACUCCCACAUUCAUCCCAAAACACAGAGUCUGGUAUGUUCUCUACUUUAUUGCUUUUCACUCACAUGGUGUGGCCACACUCUCUUACGGUGCUGGAGUGGUGAUCUUGU